rnacentral:rRNA from 1 species
UAAUACGGAGGGUGCAAGCGUUAAUCGGAAUUACUGGGCGUAAAGCGCGCGUAGGCGGCUAAGUAAGUCGGAUGUGAAAGCCCAGGGCUCAACCCUGGAAUUGCAUUCGAUACUGCUUGACUAGAGUAUGGUAGAGGGAAGUGGAAUUUCAAGUGUAGCGGUGAAAUGCGUAGAUAUUUGAAGGAACGCCAGUGGCGAAGGCGACUUCCUGGGCCAAUACUGACGCUGAGGUGCGAAAGCGUGGGGAGCGAACAGGAUUAGAUACCCUGGUAGUCCACGCCGUAAACGAUGAGAACUAGAUGUCGGGGGGGUUGCCCUUCGGUGUCGCAGCUAACGCGUUAAGUUCUCCGCCUGGGGAGUACGCCGGCAACGGUA